UACCGAAGGAAACUUCGUUCGACCGAAGUUUGUCAACUUAAGGUCAAAACGUCAAAGCAAUUAAGAUACAUGCGGUUUUUGAGUUUUCAAAUUAAAACCCUUUCCUUUUUGCUUCUUUCUUUGAAAAAUCCCUAUUUAUUUCAAUCUCUCUAACCUAGGACUAUCUCUUUCCUUCUAUAAAUCUCUUCUCCUUCCUAUAAAAUCAAACCCUAACCCUACAAAUCAUUCUCUCAUUCCCCUCUCUCUCACUCUCACUCCAAAAUCCUCAUCCUUUUCUUUCACAAAAUCAUCACUGAAAAUCACCAUGGACCUAAGGAGUAGCGGUGCCGGUCUAAGCAACCCAGAGCCUCAGAUGUUUCAAUUAGAUAUAUUCAAAACCAAGGCGAUUCGAAGCACCUGGCUAUCUGAUUUUGUGAAUAGGAAUGUCAUCACAGGCAGAAAAUAGAUAAUGAGUUUCCUAAAAAAUAUAGAAAAAAAAUGAUGAAUCAGUUGAAACACAAGGAUAGGAAAAAUUAAUGCAUCUUCCUACCAAAGUUUACUCAGAAUUAGUAAGACAAUUCUAUUACAAUCUUGAAAUAAAAAGUAUUGAGAAUAUAGAAUUUACCAUAGAAUCAAAGUUGGCGAGAAGAACAUAAUGCUAAAUCCAAGUAUCUUUUCACGAAUAAUUGGCACUCCUAUGGUUGGUGAAAAACCUAACAUUUGUCUAUGAUUUAUCCAAUGAUAUAAAAUUUCAAUAUUAAAUUCAAGAUAUUAUGACUAUAAGCAAUAUUGUACGACUCCAGACAAAAAAGAGAUCAAACCAAUUACAUCACGGACACACAUUUUUUUAUGGAAACCCCCUUUGGAAUAGGAAAAAAAUCACGUGUCCUCUUCAUCGAACAAAGAUUAUCACUAUAACUUGAUGUUCAAGAAGUUACAAACUCUUACAAUCGAACCACAAACCUAUCACUCCAUGAUCUAAUGAUUACUAGAAUCUAGCUCAUAUCACGAUUCACCAUCUCCGUAACUUGCUCACGUUCAGAUCCCCUAGAACGGAUUUCGUGUCUGAACUCCAUACGAAUCUUAAUUCUUUAUCUGGUGAAGAUGAUAGUGUUAAGAUAUGUUUUUCUGAGCUCUUUAGAAUAUAGAGAAGGGUUUUCUCUAGAGUAUAUUGAUAGAGGCGUCUUAAAUAGAUUUUUGGGUAAAGUGUUGUCAAAGCCUUUUAUGGACUACAAAAACCAUAGCAGAGCGAUUUUCGAUACUGCAGUUUUUCGCGCCUCGAUCCCGUGAUGAUCCCACGAACUCUAUGACAAUUUGCAACCUCUCGGAUUUUUUUCUCAAUGCCCCGCGAGAUCCCACGAAGUACCCGCAAGCUUUUUAUGAAAUUAUUAGCUCUCGGUAUUUUCUCUCGAGAUCCCUCGAGGUGUUCACUCUUGAGAUCCCUUUAAAUCCAUCACCAUCCACUUUUAUCAUCCUCAAUGUAUCAUACAAAUCUCUCUUAGCACAAGCUUGCAUGAAUAAGUUUGAAAACUUUUCUGAAUACUUAUUAUUGAUAAUCCAAAUCUCUGAAUUACAAUAAAUAGGACAUGUCACGAAAUUUGGCCAACUACAUAACAUUUCAAUCUCCCCCUUUGGCAUGUCGUGACCAAAAUCCUAUACACGACACAUUACAGGGAAAUAAAAAAAUUACACAGAUGAAACCUCAAUCACAAGCUCUUAACAUCAUUUCUGCACUUACAACAUGAAAAUGACCAAUCCAAUCAAGUGCAUAGGUAUCAAAGUUAAUAUGUAGGGCUCGUCUCUCCCUUUUUGGAACAAAGUUACAAAGAAAGCACAUGGAACAACAAUAUGAAGAUAACACAAAUAAUAUAAAUGCAUCAACAUGCAAAUAAAAUCAGUCAUCAUAAUUACAAACAAGUCAUCCAUAAACCAUAGAAAAAUAUUCAAUGACACCUAAUCCUAAAAAGUGCAGGGUUCAUAAAUACAAAACCAAAUCACCUACGACAAAUACUAUUAAUAAAAUUAUUUACUUCAGUGAUAAACUCAAUAUGUCAACGAGAAAAUGCCAAGAGAGUAUCGCGGAUGGCCACAAUAUCAUGUGCCUGAUGCUCCACAAUGAGAUCAACUCGCUCAUGAACCUACCCAAUGCGCUAUACCAAGUCCAUAUGAAUAAUGUUUAUAUGCGUGAAAAUAGUAAUGGCAUCAGUGAUCUUAGGAUUUGAAGUAGCAGCAAGAAGAGGAGAGUAGUAAUAGAAGUUGAUGGAACAUCAAGAGCAGUAGGAGGAGUCUCAUCAUCUGACGAGUCAAGAUCCUUGGCAUGGGGCCGAAGCUAAGGAGGAGGAGGAGCAACACUGAGAUGUGCAUUACUCAUCCGGAGAAUAUGUCGUGAAAUGGCUUUACCAACUAGAAUGCAAGUCUCAACGGGCUCAAAUACAAUCUAAUGACAUGCCAGAAACUCAGUAAUCAGGAGCUUGAAUAGUAGAUAGGCUCGUGAAGAAUUAUCCAAUGAAGCCUCAAGGAUGAGAUUGAAAAUGAGAUGACUCAAAUCCACCGGCAUAUCUGAAGCAAAAUGGCAUGCAUAAAACGCCCAUGUGUCUCAUCAAUCUCACUAACAUAAGACUUGCAUUGAAACAGAUCACAGAUGAUAUGGUUAAGAACACGAAAUAUGUCCUUUAACCGUUUUUCGCUUUAGGAGACUUGAAGGACCGGGAGGCCAAUCACCCUCAUCAGUCAACAACAAGUGGGCCAUGGAAUUCAAGAAAGGUCCAUUCAUAGAUAGAGGAUAUGGAAACCCAAUAAUAUCGGUUCAAGAGGCUGUAUGUGGUGGAAGGUGUAAAUAUCAAAAAUAGAAAAGUUAAGAUACACCUCACGAACAUAGGACUUUAAUGUCUCGCCCUUCUUGUUCGAAGCAUGAAUAUUUGUAAAGAAUCUCCGGACAAGUUCUAAACAAAUCAAUCCCUUAGACACAGCAAGUCGUUGCCAACUCCACUUAGUAAAAUACGUAUAAAUAAGAGUCUCAAAAAACUAUUCAAGAAGAACACUCCGGGAAACAAACACUAGGCGAGAUUUUAAGGAAUAAUUAAAAUGGACCUUGCCCUUAGAGCUAGGACUAAAUUUAGAGACAUCAGGAUUAGAAGAGUCUCCGUGUUGGCUAGAACCAGAGGUACCAACAUUGCCAGAGCUACUACGAGAGCCAAUGACUUGUUAUUUACUAGUUGUACCCAUGGAAUGGUGGGAAGACUAGGUUUAGGCCCCUUCUUCUUUUGAGGAGUAGACAUUAUACAAGAAAAACAAUCCCAAAAUACCAAUAAAUGCAGACGCACCAGUCCAACAGAUGACUUGUCCAAGAAACAAAAAAAAAACUUCCAAUCAAAAACUUAGGUUUGGAAAUAGCACAAAAAUUCGCACAAUAAGGAAGAAUCGGAGAAGGAGUGGAUUACCUAGAGAUAGAUCGGAAGAACCAAAGAAGAAUGGAGGAGAAUUGGUCGCUUGAUCAAGGAGAUUCAUUGCCAAAGAUCACGUGAGCGAGAAGGAGAGAGAGAGAACGACUUUUGCUGAAAAGUGAGGGCAAAAAGCACAGUCAAUGGAAUUUUAUACUCGUCCUGAUAAGUGGACUUUGGGGGAUCGAGAUCCCGCGAACUAGCCAUUGGAAAUUUACCAUCACCCAGAUAAAUAGACUUUGCGAGAUCGAGAACUCACGAGAUCUAGUGAAACGAUCACUGAUAAGUAGACUUUGCGAGAUUGAGAACUCAUGAGAUCCCGCGAACAUUGCAGUAACAAAAAAAAAAUCACAAGAGAAAUGAAAUAAAAUACUAUCAAAAUGAACAUGUACAGAACUUCAUUCUCAACUCAGGCACAAUACAACCAAUGAAUUAAGAAGGCCAUGAGUAUGAGUGAGUUAACAGCAGCAUGGUCAAAGUAAAGAAUAAAAGCAAACUCAAGAUACCCCAGUAGUAAUGAUAAGAUCCAUAUAGCUACCAUGAAGAAGAUGCAUGUCGUCAAUUUAAAUCAAUACGAAUACAGAUCCUAGAACAACAAAUCCAGAUAGGAUUCAUAAUGGAGAUCUUAUCUUGACCCACUGAAGUACUUAGAAGUCAAACCCUAACAUGCUAUCCCAAUCAAUAUUAUAUAUAUAUAUAUAUUAUUAUAUAUAAUAUAUAUAUAUAUAUAUUAAUGUAGGGACAAAUUCUUCUAUUUAACCAUUUAAAAUUCUAACUCUAUCUCUCCAAUUAUCCAAUAUUAACAUUAGGUAACCAUUUGAGGAUUUGGUGGCUUCACACACAUUAGUAGGGGUAACCAUUCUCUUUUGUCCGUAACAAGGGUAGUUCUCUCACACUCAUAGGUAGACCUUUUGUAUUAUUCAAAAUAAUUUUUAUUUCAAGAAAAGGUAUACUAUGUUCAUGGUCAUUCUAGAUAUUCACGAACAAGAAGAUCAUCCAUCAUAAAGUUUUCAAAAAGAACAUAAAUAGGUGGAUUCAGAUUCGAGAGAUCCAUGCGAAGAGCACCAAAAUAAACUGAAACAGAGCAUGACUAGUAUCAUCAACGUCCAAUUGAAUACCAUACACAGUCAAAGAUUGUAUACUAGAUCAAUUAGAACAUACUCAUAAUACUACCAAUUCAUAGGAAGGCCUGUACAGGAAGAAGAAGAUAGAACAUGAAACAAGUAUAUACCCAAAAGAGACAUACACACUCACACACAUACCAUAAGACAUGGCUUUUGAAAAGAGAUUUGAAACACUCCAAAAACUCAAGCCCCAAUCUCCGCAAUAACAAACUACUCGGUGAGCACCAAUCCUAGGGAUUUAGCAAAAAAAAUUUAAACCUGUAAGAGUUGUCAAAAGGUUAGUGAAGAGAUUAGUUAAGUUGAUUUUCAGUGGAGCAUGCUCUAGAGAAAUAAAUUUCGCUUCGACUAGAUCACUGUGAAGUGAUUACGAAUGAUUAAUAUGUUUUAUGCAAGAGUGUUGAGCGGAAUUUUGCGAGAUACUAAAUCGCACUCUUUGUUGUCACAAAAUAAGGUCAUGACCUCUUUGUUGUUUAAAGCCAUAGUCACUAACAUUUUUUCAUUCAUAAGAGCUGAGUACAAUAGCUUCCAGUAGACCUAUGUACUCUGCAUCUCAGCAAUGGACAAGGAAAUGGCAUUCUGCUUUUUACUAUACCAAGCAACAAGGUUAUUACCUAUAUAAAAACACCCUCCAGAGGUGCUCUAUAUUAGUAUAACCUGCAAUAUUCUAUAUUAGUAUAACCUGCAAUAUCUAUAUUCAUGUCUAAGGAAACCAAUUACCAUACCCAAGAGUGUCAUUAACAUAUUUAAUGAUUCUUUUAACAGUAAAUAGUAUGACUCUUUGGGACAUGCAUGAAAAUGAGAACAAAUAUCAACACUAAAUGCAAUGUCAGGUCUACUAGCAGUUAAGUAAAGUAAACUACCAAUCAUACUCUAUACAGGGUUUGAUCAACAUCAUUUCCUAAAAUAUCCUUACUGAGCUUAAGACUAGUACUCAUAGGAGUUUUAGCAUAUUUAUUAUUUUUCAAGCCAAAUUGUUUCGCUAGGUAUCUAGCAUAUUUGGAUUGAGAGAGAAAAAUUUAUUUAUCCAUAUGUUUGACUUGUAAACCUAGAACAUAAUUCAACUCUCCCAUCAUACUCUUAAUUGACUUUUCAUAUGUUCAAAAAUAUUUUGAGCAAGCUUUUUAGAAGUAGAACCAAACAAAAUGUCAUCCACAUAAAUUUGAGCAAUAAGAAUGUGCUUUGAUUCUUUCUUCAUAAACAGGGUUUUAUCAGCUCUCCCUCGAGAAAAGCCAGACUCUAGCAGAAAAAUAGUCAACUUUUCAUACCAAGCUCGAGUGUUUGAGUGUCUCCUUUGCAACAAGUCUUGUCUUAUUCCCAGUGAUAGUGCAAAAUUCAUAAGAUUUAUUUUGAAAUAUCCAUUUGGUACCUAUCACAUUCAUAUUAUUAGGUCUAGAUAUAAGAGUCCAUAAAUCAUUACGCACAAAUUGACCUAAUUCUUUAUGCAUAGUAGUUAUCCAAUGCUCAUCAGUUAAUGCUUCUUUAACAUUUUUGAGUUAUAACUAAAAAAUAUAGCACAAGUAAUUUACCUCAUUCCUUACCUAACGCCUUGUCUUCAUUGGUUUAGUGACAUCUCCAACUACUUGAUCCAAUGGAUAAUUCAACUUUACUCUGGCUAAUGGUUUUAGAUUGAUUCUAGAAUCCUCUACCGCUUUGUCCAUUUGAAUAACUGCUCCAUCUCUAUUUUCAUUCUUUUUCUCAUUCACAAUAGCUCCAAAAGUUGCACUAUCUGAAUCACUAUUUUCAUCAAGUGUAUCAGCAGUGUGAACUAAAACAUCAUCAAUCAUAAUAUUUAUAAAUUCCAUAACAAUAAGAGUAUUCAAGUUAUAAACACGAUAAACUCUUCUAUUAAUAGAAUACCCAAUAAAUAUUCCUUCAUCACUUCGGGUAUCAAACUUACCCAGUUGCUCUCUAUCCCUCAAGAUGUAGCAUUUGCUCCCAAAUACUCGAAAGUAUUUAACAUUAGGCUUCUUACCUUUCCACAAUUCAUAGGGUGUCUUCUUGGUACCAACUUUUAGAUAGGCUCAGUUUGCAAUGUAGCAUGUUGUAUUUACUGUCUCGGCCCAAAAUUUCUGAGGAACUUUCUUCCCAUGCAAUAUUACUCGGGCCAUUUCAUGGAUUGUCCUAUUCUUUCUUUCUACCACGCCGUUCUGUUGUGGUGUCUUUGGUGCAGAUAAUUUAAGACCUUAAUCGAACCAUUCUCAUUUCAAAAUAACAUAAAAAAUUUUUAGUCUCUUUAAAUAAUACAAAAAUUCAACUCUCUAAUUUAUUUUGUUAAUAGAUUGGAAUUAGGGUUUGAGUUUUAAAAGUGGUGAGUAGCCACUAUAGAAGUUAUUUUUAUUAUUUAGGCGAAAAAUCAGUUUGUUCCGUUAGCCUAGAUAGGACAAAAGAUAAACCGGAGGUUUAAUUGUAACCGGAUACAAACUACAUAGGUCAAUUAAUUACAAUUGAACUUUAGAGUAAAUUUUUUUAAUAGUCCACAAUGCAGUGUUUUACAUAAUUCUCCUAUUAAUCAAUAGCUAACGAAAGUUAUUGUUGGUAUAUAUAUAAGUUAGCCUUGUAAAUUAGAGUUAAAAUAGGGGUAGCCACAAUAAGGGUACAUAUAAACUAAAAAUAUUUUAAUUUAUUUUGGUCCAUAAAGUUCUAAUUUGAACACUUACGACCUUACAGUUUUAAAUCUAAUCUCAAUGUAAUUACUCUAUCAAUAUCCAAUUAGACAGAAGGUAGAACAUGAAAACUCAUAUGGACUAUUUUUAGGGGACCGUAGUGAAACGUUUGUCAAAUAUCAAAAUUUUUAGUGGCUAAAGUCUACUCUCAAUUGGUGAGAAUAUAAAAUUUUUUAUGGCGAAUCGUGCCUUUUAUGCCCAGUUUGGUACGACAAAAAACUGUAUGUUUGAAAAUUUCGUAAAUUGAUAAACAUUUUUCAGAUGCAACAGGGGUGUCCGUGGUCCGAAUUGGUCCGGCCAUAAGAAUCCAUAACCAAUCCAUUUUUUUAACGGUUUUAAAAAAAAUUAAGAAGAUCAACUUUUAACCAUUACAAGUAAGAAACCAAACCAAAAAUCAAUUGCCUUACGGUUCGGUUCCGGUUCAAAUCAAUUAAAAAUCUAAAUAUUUUUAUAAAAUAUAAAAUUGCAAACAAGUUGUUCAUUGAAAUAAUUCUAAGUUCAUUAAUACUUUUAAGUCAUGAACCAAAAUUAGUACAAAAUAGUUCAUAGAGACUCCAAAUGAGUUACAUCAACCAACUCUAAAUAGACAAAUUAAUAAUUCAUAAAAGUUAGAAUCAUAAUGGUACUAACAACAAAGGAAUAAACGGGAAGAAGAAUUAAAAAAGAAUUUAUAAUGGAUAACAAAAGAAAAAUCAACUGAUAAAAUCUUGAAUAGAAAAAAAAGGUGCAAGGAUUUUGAUGGAAAGAAGAUGAAGUAAUCCUAAUAUCUAUGAGAAGUAAAAAUGUUUUUGUUGGGUAUGAUUACUAUCCCAAUAAGUGCGGAUACUUUCGUUUGUUUGUAUCAACAUAGUCCCUUCUUUCUCCUUUUUUUUUGUGUAGAUCUUCGUGCAUGUAAAACUUUGUGGGUACAAUAUUCAUCGCUAAACUUCCGCCACAGUCGCCACUGAUACUAAUAUGGCAGAAGAUUCAACACGAAAAUUGCACGUGGAUUUGUUAGGUUGGGCAGUUAGAAUCACCCAAUCCAAUUGCGCGCUUAAAUUUUCAACUCCUUCCCAAUUCCAAUGAACACAAGAGAAUUAAUAAAUUUAUUAAACCAAAUCAAACAUUAAUAUUAUUAUCAACAUCAUAUGAAAACAAUACUAGAUAACACCUUUCAGAAAAUCUAUCGUAUGGAUUAAUUUAGAUGUACAUAAUAGAGUCGAAAAUUAGGAUAGGGAAUAUUUAUUAAUUACAAAAAUUAAAAGUGGUGGCGUGAUGAUGUGGUGCAUUCUUUGCUUUCCUUUCUUCUAUGGUGCUCAUGAAUGCGUAUGCACCGGGCUCCGAUGGCAACCGCAGCUGCAACUUCUUCUUUUAUCUUGUGCUGGUGAGUGUGCUCCGGGUCUUUCUUUGCCUUGUGCUUCUCGUGCUGAAAUUUUUAUAAGAGAAUAUUUUUCAAAAAAUAUGAUUUACAAUUCUAAAAGUUAAAUGUAUUCAUUUAGCUCCAUUAGUUUCAAAAAUAUUUGUUUUUGAUGAACUUUUUUACUAUUUAAUCAAAAUUUUAUAAUUUUCAUUCCAGUUAUUCUUGGUGAGAGAAAAUAAAAAUAUAUAAAGAGAAUUUGAUCCAAUUUGAAAAAUAAUUUACUAAAUUAGACAAAAAAUCAUUUUCACUAUAAAAUAGCUGUUUUUUCGUUGAAUUGUUUUAAAAAUCGUGAUCCAAUUCUUUUAGAUUUUCAGCAUUCUCGAGGAUGAGAAUUUAUACAAUUUUAUACUCUAAACAAUAAAAUCAGCUAUGAAAAAACUCGGAAAAAUAAUUCACUAAAUUAUGACAAAACAAUCCAUUUUCCUCGAAAUUUUUUUAAUAGAAUUCUUUUAAAAAAUCUUGAUCAAAUUCUUUUUUACAUUUUUGUCAUUCUCUCUCCUCGGCAAGCAGAUUUGAGAAGAAUGCGAUUUUUUUAUAAAACAAUAUAAAAUUAGUUAUGAAAAAAUUCAAAAAAAAAAAAACCGAAACAACUAAGUUUUACUGACUUAAGCUAGUCCAAACUGACAAAAGGGUGUUGGAUAUAUUGCUACCAGCAUAAGUACCAGCGCCCAGCACCUAGCUGGUCCCAAGGUGCUUCUUUAUGCUUGCUGGUGUUUUUCCUCCUUUCUUAAAUCAUGCUUGCCUUCUUUUCUUCCCCGCCUUUGGAAUGUGGAAAAGGUUGUGGUGCUGGUGUUUUCUGUUCGGCCAUGGUGUGGACCUGGUGGUACGUGGUGGUGGUCUUAAAAUAAAAUUCUAAUGAAAAGCCACAACACAAAGUAUUUGGUAUAUGUGAUCAAAGUUGGUUUUGAUGGUUUUUGGAAACUCAUUAACAUGCAGGUGCUACUUAUAGUUUGAUCUCAACGCAAAGAGUCCGCACGCGGUUUCUUGCCAAUUAAGAUAUGAUUCCUUAAUUAUCUAGACUUGUGGAAAUUAACGCGUAGAUGAAUGUUCUUUGUCUUGUACUUUCAUAAUGGUAUAUGAAUGUUCUUUUUUUUUAUUUCAUGAAAAUAUUUUGUUUUAUUAUGAAAAAUUUGUUGAGUUCAAGCCCACCUGAAUGAGCCUUAGCCCGGUUGGUUUACAUGGAGUAUAGAGUGAAUCUCUCGGGUUAACUAGAACUCGUGUAAAAAUUAUCUCUUUUGAAGAGUUAGUCUUGAUUUAUGAUAAGUUUCACUAGAAAUAGGAUAACAAUUAGGUCUCUUAUUGGAAGUCUAACUACUCUUGCCUGUCUAUAAAAAGGAUGGUAGGGUGUUGAGAAUUUGUGUGCCCCGAAAGAGUACUAGUGAGUUGAGAGUGAGAGGCAAAACAGAGAGAUUGUGGAUUAUUGAUUUCUUUGUAAUCCCCUUCGUUCAAUUAGUUGAUUAUUAAUUUAUCUCCAUGAACGUAGGUAUCGUUGGCUGAACCACUUAAAUUUCUAUGUCUCCUGUGUUUGUGAUCGGUGAUUCGUUUUGAGCACAACAAAAUCAACCACUAAAAUCAACCACUAAAAUAUAGUAGAUUUUUAUUUUUACCCAUUCAUUCUUGAAUUAAUGCACUUAAAAACUUGCUAGUAUUCGUAAGGGAAAUCUUAGAAAUCAUUAAUGUUGAUUUGAUUUUGAGGACAUUAAAUGUUUGUUCUAUUAAAAUUUAAAACUCUUAAAAGAGAUAAACAAAAUGAGAUGGAGGGAGUAGUAUAUAUAUGCUAAUUUUGAAAAUUUUAAUCUUUUAAAGUAGAGCAUUUUUGACUUCUUAGAAAGUUAGGCAGAUCCUAGAUAUUUUAAAAUGAACAAAUAAAUUGUGAUAAAAGGAGUAGUAUUUAUAAGAUAAUAUUCUCUCUGUAUCUAAUUGUUCGUCAUUAUUUGUAGAAUUUCGGCGUUCAAAUUCAAAUUGAAAUGUAUUUUUUUCAUCUUAAUUUGUUUUUCUAUCUUUCUAAUUUAAGAUAUCCCAAAAUACUUGUCUAUUUUGCAAAUCCAAAACAUAAAAACUUGUUAGUUUUCCUAAGGGCAAUUUUAGCAAUCACUAAUAUUGAUUUGAUUGUGAGUGCAUUAAAUGUACAUUUUGUAAAAAAUUCAAAACUUUUAAAAGCGACCAAUAGAUUCAAAUGGAGAGAGUAUUAAUUUUCAGUAUCGCCCAUUUAUUCUCAUAGUCAUUUGUUGGUCUAACUUUGAAUGUUUGAAAAAAAUAAGUUUGAGUUGAUUUGGACCUAAUUUUUAGGUGGGUCCCCAUUAUUGAAAUAGUGGGAACCAUGUGCUCUUCAAAUAGAUACUCUCAUGGUGUAAUUGUUGGGUGUAUUCACUUCCUCAAAACGGAUAAGGGGUGAUUGAGAAAUUGUUCACCAAAGUACUACAAUUGAUAUGAAAAAUGUGAGUGGAAAUGAAAGUUCACAUCCAUUUUGUUGAGAUUUUAAAAAAAAAAACAAUAUAUAUAUAUAUAUAUAUAAUAUAUAGAUAUAUAUAUAUAAUAUAUAUAUAUUAUAGAUAUAUAUGCCAAGCUAGCACGAAUAGAUGAGUUAUUGGAGGGGGGGGGGUCGCACCAAUAUUAUGAAAAAAGGGAGUAUGGACAAAAGUAAAACUUUUUUUUUUUUUUUUUUUACCUUAUUGGGGCGCGGGUGCAAUGUGAAACUGGCUCUAUUAGAGGUGUACUGAGUAAUUAAUAAUUACUUUUUAGUCCGUUUAAUAUUUAAUUGUGGAAUAACUCUCAACUUUAUUCCCAUAAUCUUUCAAUACUGAUAACAACCAUCAUAAAUAAUUCAGAGUAAUUAACUAGUUAAUGGGCUGUUAUAAUUAUUUCAAUGGUAGAACUAUUACAAUGGUUUAAAUGGUAGAACUAUUACAAUAGUAAUUUUGUGACCUUUUAAUUGCAGCUUAAAAACUUAUAAAUUCCAACACCCAUGCAAGUUAAUUACAUAGAAAUUAGAGAGUUUAUCAGUGACUCAAAAACAAAGGGUUUCUAGUAUUCUGCAUUAGAGUCAUGAUGAGAGAGCAACACUACUGGCUGGUUUGCUAUGCAGACAUAAGUCGUGCUAAUAUACGUGUGUGUUAUCGUUGCAUCAUGAAAGACAAACUCUAAUUAACUGUAAGUACCAAGUGAUGGGGCUAAUGCUAUCUUAAGGAGACAGUGUAGAACGUUGGCCUCGGUCCAUUAUCAUUUUUUAUGUUUAUUAUUUAUUUCAAUUCGUAGUUCUGAUUUGUAAUAAUCUGAUAGUAUAGAUUUCAGAUUUAUUUUGUAUUUUAUUUUGUAUUUAUUUCACUACCCUAUUUUUUUAUUUUUUUAUUCAAUUAAUUAUUUUUAAAAUAGAAAAAAAUAUGAAAAUGUUGUCAAUUGUUUUUAAAAAUAAUAAUUCAAAAGGAGAAUUCUAAUAAUAGUUUUGCAAAAGUAGGAGAAAUAUAUUAUUUUAAAAAACUAUAGGCGAGAUUAUAUUGUAUUGUCAAAACAUCAUGAGAAGUCAAGAAAUUUGCCAAACAAAAAAAUAGUUUAGGAGCAGUUACUCUGGGUCCCAAAGUCAAAUAGAAUCACCCCAAGUAUUCUUAGAAUAAUUCUUCCAAGAGACUUUUGUUUUAGAUUUAACGAGGCGUUGUUGAUUCUAACCUCUCGGUUUGUCUAAUUAAUAAUAAUAAUAAUAAGGUUAGAUGUACACUUUUGCGACCCUAAAACAUUACUGAUUCUCGGUUAUUUAUAUAUUUUUUGUUUAUUAUUUUAUUGUAAUAUGUAAUUUUAUGAUUUGUAAUAAUCUGAUAGUAUAAAUUUUAGAUUUAUUUUGUAUUUUAUUACCUAUUUUUAUUUUUAUCAAUAAGUUUUUUUAAAAUAAAUAAAAAUGUUGUCAAUUUAAAAAAAAAUAAUUUCAAAAGGAGAAUUCUAAUAAUAGUUUUUCAAAAGUAAUAAAGAUGUAUAUUAUUUUAUAGGAAAAAUGUAUUGUAUUUGUCAGAAACAUCUGAUAGUAUAGAUUUCAGAUAUAUUUUGUAUUUAUUUCACUACCCUAUUUUUUAAUUUUUUAUCAAUAAAUAAUUUUUUUUAAAAAAACAAAUAAAUUCAAAAGGAGAAUUCUAAUAAUAGUUUUUCAAAAGUAAGAAAGAUGUAUAUAU
rnacentral:lncRNA from 1 species